AUGGCAAGUAUCAAGAAUAGUUAAGCUUAUGGGUUGAUGUAAUUCUUGAGGCUUCCCUUUCUUUCAAGAAUCUGGUUCAGGUUUUCAAAAAAUCAGAACCCAAAAGGUCGAAACUUAAGACGGGUGGUUUGAAUUCUCCUGGGUCAAUCGUCUUUGUUUCACCUCGACCCGUUAGGAAACUCAAUGCUGCUGUGACAAUAGUUCCAAAGAUAUACCAAAGUUAUCGAACACGAAGAAAUUUAGCGGAGUGUAUUGUUGUUAUGGAGGUUAUAUGGUGGAAGGCUUUGGACUUUACAUCUUGGAUCGGACUUCGGUUAUGUCACAAGUGAAGGAAAGGACUAGAGAUGAGCAUUUGAUACUUGGUUCCGGUAUCAAAUUUCCCGUAUCCAAUUUUUUUGGUACUCACUUCUUGGCGUUUUUGGUACCGGUAUAUUCGAGUCGGUACGGUAGCAGUAUUUUACUGAAUUUUACAUACAAAUAUUGGUACAGGUACCGUACCGAACAUUUUCGGCACCGGUACCUAUAUUUGGCAAUUUUUGAUACCCAUAUCAUAUUUGGCGAUUUCGGUGUAUCUAAAGAUUGGUAUAGUUCAUACAUGGGCUUCAACGCCAGUAGAUAUUAUAUGUUUGUGUUAAGCCACCCGCGAAACUCGCGGGAUCUUAAACUAGUA